AGCAUUACAUUAAUUUUCCCAUAGAUUUUCUAACAUAGUUCUGACUCUAAACGGCACCCUUCAUAUAUAGGAAUAAGGUUUGGAAAGGCUGAGAGAUCAGUUUUGCACUUGGAGAAAAUACGGUAUGUGAAGCCCAACAUGACCCAGCAAUGUCUACUUGCAGUCCAGAAAGCUAACAGUAUGCUGGGCUGCAACAAGAGGAGCAUGGGCAGCAGGUCCAGGGAGGCGAUUCUCCCCCCACUCUGCUCUUGUGAGACCCCACUUGUAGUAGACUAAAAUGUCAACUGGUCCUGUUUUCCUUGCUUCUGUUUGUUUUCUGAUGGGAAGAAUGCUGCUUGCUGGUAAGCAGCGAAGGAAAUGCUACUUUCAUGCUGCUCUACCCAGUGCGCUUGCUGCCUUUGCCCAGCAAGGCUACACACCCACCUCUGACCCCUUCAGAUCUUCAGCAGGUCAGCUCAGCCUCUAAGACCUUCCAGGCUAAUGUCAUCUAAUCUGUGUAUGUCCAGGCAGUCUCUGCUUCUCCCAGAUCACCCAAAGCUCAGAAGAGAUACUGUGUCUACAAUUCUUUUGCUUUUAAAUUGCAACACUCUGAUAAAAAAUGUUCAUAACCAUAGCAAGGUACUGCUGAACUAUCCUUUUACCCCCUUUUCUCUCCUUCAAGUUACAUAGUUCAAGUGCCAGAGGACAAGACAAACUAGUUCCCCGAGAAUUAAUUAGAAUUCUCCUGACCCAUAGUUUGGUUUGUUAUUUGUCUUCAGUCACGCUCAUUUCAAUGAAUAUCAAUCAGAAUAAUUUUUAAACUUUAGCAUUAAUCAUAUUUAGAUGUCUUACAAAGGUUUGGAAGUCCUUAAGUGAGAACUGCUUAUGUCAGCGUUUUCCAGGCAACAGGACUUUGCAGUCUCUGUGUAAAAAAAUCAACACAGAUAAACAAAGAACUGCGUAAGGUGAAGAGCCAGAGCCACCUUCCUCCUCACCAGAGCUGAUAACAGAUUUGCAAAAUCAUUGAAAAGAUAAAGCAACACUGGAAGGUGAAAAAGCGAAGUCACAAGAUCUUAAAUCCAACCAUACCUGGUUAAGUGCCAUUUGUUAACAACUACAGACAUCUGCAGGCAGGAGGAGAGUUAGUGUAGUCUACUAAGUCCCCGGUCACAUCAAAGUCCACAAAAGGUGUUUUGAAGAUGCUGUUGUGUUCACUAACAAGCAAAUUGGAAAGAAAGAUGAUUCAGAUUUUGGACGUGUCACAUGGGGAGAGGCUGAGAGAGCUGGGGUUGUUCAGCCUGAAGAAGGCUCAGAGUCCUCUUAGUGCUGCCUUGUGACAGGAUGAGAGGCAAUGGGCGCAAACUGGAAUAUGAGAAAUUGUGUUUAAACCUGAUUAAAAAUGUUCUAGGUAAAAUGUAAAGGUAAUUGAAAAGUGGAGCAGGUUGUCCAGAGAAGUUGUGGAGUUUCCAUCCACAGAGACAUUCAAAACUCCAUGGGGCAAAGUCCUGAGCAACCUGCUGUACAUGACCCUGCUUUGAGCAAAAGGGCUGGAGUAGAAUGGGAACUUCACAUCUCAAAACCUGAAGCUGAAAAUCAUCCUGGAGCAGUAAAAUCAUAGAACCACAGAAUCAUUCAGAUGUUCAGGCAGGAGUUCUAGGUAGGAGAUUGCACCUGAACACCUAAGAACGCAUUUGCUUUAAGUGUUAUAAAUCAGCCUGAGAAGGAUCAGCUUCAACUUCAGUAUUUUUCAUCUGAGAAAUCUCAAAAAUCAUU